rnacentral:rRNA from 1 species
UACGUAGGUGGCAAGCGUUGUCCGGAAUUAUUGGGCGUAAAGCGCGCGCAGGCGGUCCUUUAAGUCUGAUGUGAAAGCCCACGGCUCAACCGUGGAGGGUCAUUGGAAACUGGGGGACUUGAGUGCAGAAGAGGAGAGUGGAAUUCCACGUGUAGCGGUGAAAUUCGUAGAUAUUGGGAAGAACACCGGUGGCGAAGGCGGCCAUCUGGACCGCAACUGACGCUGAGGUGCGAAAGCUAGGGGAGCAAACGGG